GGCCCAAAUUUGAAGUAGAGUAGAUUAGUAUUAUCAGCUGACCCUACUAAACCACUCUACUUCAAAUUUGGGCCC
rfam:Haemonchus placei strain MHpl1 genome assembly, scaffold: HPLM_scaffold0002973